AUGAUUGGAACUUUGAUAGCUUUGCUGAUUUUACUUUCUAUAUUCAAAAUUUACACAACGAGAGUAUUGUAAGUAGAACUUUGCUAGUUUCAAAAAUUCACGAAGAACUUAUGACGUCUGAAAGGGUGUUACUUUUACGACAGAAAUGGGUUAUGGAAAAUCAUCAAUUAUUUCAAAUUUAGUUUGUGCUGAACAGUCAUCAGAUUGGUAUGUUAUACGAAAGAAUACUUCUGCAGAUAUGACUCAAUCCGAUCCACAGAGGCUGCAUAUUUCAUUCGUAAUAUUAUUAGUGCCAUCUUAAACCAAUAUACAGAGUUAGGCAAUGCAAUUUUGUCCGACGAUAUUGCGAUUGGAAUUUUGUAUGGAUCGAGAUGUGCAGAUGAUCCCAUAAUGUGUUUGGAAGUAGCUAUCCUCAAUCCUAUGCGAAAUAAAUGGCAAAAUUACCAGUUCAUAAUUGUAAUUGAUGCUCUUGAUGAAUGUAACAGCGACAACAACAAAAAUAUUUUACAGAUGAUUUUCAAACAGAUAGAUAAUUUUCCGCCAAACAUAAAGUUCAUAUUUACCUCAAGAGAUAUAGAGCAUGUUUUGAGUAAAUUUAAUGAUUUAAGUAUCAUUCAGCUAAACAUGUUUCACACAGAAAAUAAAAUUGACAUUACGCAGUACAUUGAACAAACAAGUCAUCUUACAAAAUCACAAAAAAACUCGCCUGACAAAUGUUGCUAGAGGAAAUUUCCUGCAUGUUAAACUUUUCUUGCAAACUUGUAAACUAUCUACAAAUUCUGACUUUAGAAAUAUACCAACUUCACUAGAAAAAAUGUAUCAGAUGAAUUUUGAAAGAGUGUUUGACAAUCAAUCUAGUUUAUUUG
rnacentral:lncRNA from 1 species